rnacentral:lncRNA from 1 species
GGAGAAUAUUUUGCACUACCUAUGCCAAGUCAGGCUGUAUUUAUCUUAAGAGAUAGCAUUUCCUUUUAAAAUAUAUUGGAUUCUAUAACUCUUUAAUGAAAAAAUCAGUUUCCCAGUAACAAUGGCUUUAGAAAAGCUCCAAUCUCAUUUUAGCUUCAUGAGAGAGAAGGGAUUGACCACAUCUUCCAAAAUGGCUGUAUGUGUCCAUAGUAGGUCUUGGCUGGGGUAGUUUGCUAAGGAAUGCUGGGUAGCGCCUGACCUGAAUCCUCAACAAAGAAAUAUGCAUCCCGGUCAGGUGAGCAGUAAGGUGAAUAACGAAACUCAGAGGAGGCCAUCCAAGAUUCCAUUACAUGUAAACCUUAUUACAGAAAAUUCUGACUCCACUGAAAUAAGCAAACAAGGAAACAAAUCAACAGAAGGCUCUUUUCUCUUUCUGUGAAGACCUAAAUAUGAUCAUCAAAACAGAAUGAAAUUGAGUCUUUUUGAAAAGAAGGGGUCAACUGUAAGGUCCAUGGAUGGUGAAGCAUAUCAAGACCUGCUCGGGACUAAGUAGGCAUGGUUGUUAAAGGAAGCGGACUUCUCGAUGACAACCUAAAAAAGGACCUGAUAGGAAAUGAGAUGAGCCUCAAAAGACUGGGAAAAUUUUAUGAAGUACCAUCUGAAAAUGCUGAUGUAGAAAGCUCAACUAAUCAAGAUCAUGCCGUUAUAUUUGAAUUACCAGAAAGGGACCAUGAGAAGUAAGAGUAAAAUACAUCCCUCGACUGCACACAAGUCCUUGUAAUCUCAUCUCACCUCCCGGAACAAUGCAAAACAAAUUAAAGCUGGUUCACAAAAUGUCAUACAAUCUGGCAGCAAGAUUUUAAUUGAUGAAGAAACGGCUUUUUAAUGAUUCUUUAACAACUACAGAAAAUUUCUAUUACUGGGAGUCAUGAAAAAAACCACCUUAAGGGGACAAAAUUAUUUCUACCAGUUUUUUAAUCUUUUUUUUUUUUAAAUCAACUCAGAGGUCCCCUGGACACCUUCUGACCGAUUCAAACUCUACUCUGUUUAAUGUGGUUGAAAGGAUGGGCACCUGACUUGUUACUGGGAAUGUUUCCCCCACCUUGCCCAGACCCCCCACUGCAAAAGUCUUUUAAAAAAUAUGUCUGAAAUUAGGAAAACACAACUUGCAGUUACCAGGUUUACUUGACCUGUAUCACCACUUUCCACUGGCAAUGUCUUACCUAGUGUGGCUAUUCUCAUGAAUCCAGUGAUCAAUGUUAGUCUUGAAAUGAGUUUGGAUACAUGAAAUUUGGUUUUACUGGCACCCUUUCCAUCUGGUCUUCUUUUGUUUUCCAGUCUCCAAUGUGGCACUUGCCACACUGUAUUUUUAAAAUAUAAAUUUAUUUUCAGUCUUUCCCACUAAAGCAGGGGAACACAGUAUGUGUUCUAUACAUAUUUGGAUGUUGAAUAGAUUAUGAUUUUCUUCUAUUUGGAUUCAAAUUGGAUUGAUUUUCUUCUAUUUGGAUUCAUAUUAAUAGCUCUCUAUGCUUCCAAAAAUACACACACACGUGUGCGCGCACACACAGACAUAAGCACGCUAAUUAAAGGCAAUACAAAAAUAUUAUCUUUGCUUUGGAUAUUCCACAUAUAUUAGAGUAUAUCUGGAAUCUGACUAUGAUCCUGGCUCUAUGACUAAUCUAUGUGAGAGAAAUUCAUUAAUAAUCUUUUAAACCUUUAUAUUUACAGUUUCCUUUCUUCAGAAUUAUGACAGCAGUAAAAAUCAAGCUAUUGUUAAAAUAAAAGUUGCUAUCAAGUAAGUUUUGAAGGUUGC